GCCUACGGGGGGCAGCAGUCGAGAAUCAUUCACAAUGGGGGAAACCCUGAUGGUGCGACGCCGCGUGGGGGAAUGAAGGUCUUCGGAUUGUAAACCCCUGUCAUGUGGGAGCAAAUUAAAAAGAUAGUACCACAAGAGGAAGAGACGGCUAACUCUGUGCCAGCAGCCGCGGUAAUACAGAGGUCUCAAGCGUUGUUCGGAAUCACUGGGCGUAAAGCGUGCGUAGGCUGUUUCGUAAGUCGUGUGUGAAAGGCGCGGGCUCAACCCGCGGACGGCACAUGGUACUGCGAGACUAGAGUAAUGGG
rnacentral:rRNA from 1 species